AAUAGAUACCCUGGUAGUCCACGCCGUAAACGAUGAGUGCUAAGUGUUAGGGGGUUUCCGCCCCUUAGUGCUGCAGCUAACGCAUUAAGCACUCCGCCUGGGGAGUACGGUCGCAAGACUGAAACUCAAAGGAAUUGACGGGGGCCCGCACAAGCGGUGGAGCAUGUGGUUUAAUUCGAAGCAACGCGAAGAACCUUACCAGGUCUUGACAUCCCACUGACCGCUAUGGAGACAUAGUUUUCCCUUCGGGGACAGUGGUGACAGGUGGUGCAUGGUUGUCGUCAGCUCGUGUCGUGAGAUGUUGGGUUAAGUCCCGCAACGAGCGCAACCCUUGAUCUUAGUUGCCAUCAUUUAGUUGGGCACUCUAAGGUGACUGCCGGUGACAAACCGGAGGAAGGUGGGGAUGACGUCAAAUCAUCAUGCCCCUUAUGACCUGGGCUACACACGUGCUACAAUGGACGGUACAAACGGUUGCCAACCCGCGAGGGGAGCUAAUCCGAUAAAACCGUUCUCAGUUCGGAUUGUAGGCUGCAACUCGCCUAC
rnacentral:rRNA from 1 species